CCGAAAGGAGAGCUAAUACCGGAUACCCCCACCGAACCGCAUGGUUUGGUGAGGAAAUGGAUUCCGCUUCGGGAGGGCUUCGCGGCCUAUCAGCUAGUUGUGGGGUAACGGCCCACCAAGGCAUCGACGGGUAGCUGGUCUGAGAGGACGAUCAGCCACACUGGGACUGAGACACGGCCCAGACUCCUACGGGAGGCAGCAGUGGGAAUCUUGCGCAAUGGGCGAAAGCCUGACGCAGCAACGCCGCGUGGGGAUGAAGGCUCUCGGGUUGUAAACCCCUUUCAGCAGGGACGAAUCAAGACGGUACCUGCAGAAGAAGCCCCGGCUAACUACGUG
rnacentral:rRNA from 1 species